GAUGAACGCUGGCGGCGCGCCUAAUACAUGCAAGUCGAGCGAACAGACGAGGAGCUUGCUCCUCUGACGUUAGCGGCGGACGGGUGAGUAACACGUGGAUAACCUACCUAUAAGACUGGGAUAACUUCGGGAAACCGGAGCUAAUACCGGAUAAUAUAUUGAACCGCAUGGUUCAAUAGUGAAAGACGGUUUUGCUGUCACUUAUAGAUGGAUCCGCGCCGCAUUAGCUAGUUGGUAAGGUAACGGCUUACCAAGGCAACGAUGCGUAGCCGACCUGAGAGGGUGAUCGGCCACACCGGAACUGAGGAACGGUCCAGACUCCUACGGGAGGCAGCAGUAGGGAAUCUUCCGCAAUGGGCGAAAGCCUGACGGAGCAAAGCCGCGGGAGGGAUGAAGGUCUUCGGAUCGGAAAACUCUGUUAUUAGGGAAGAACAAAUGUGUAAGUAACUAUGCACGUCUUGACGGUACCUAAUCAGAAAGCCACGGCUAACUACGUG
rnacentral:rRNA from 1 species